CGUGUAGGCGGCUUUGCAAGUCGGGUGUGAAAGCCCUCGGCUCAACCGAGGAAGUGCGCCCGAAACUGCUUAGCUUGAGUACCGGAGAGGGUAGCGGAAUACCCCAAGUAGAGGUGAAAUUCGUAGAUAUGGGGUGGAACACCGGUGGCGAAGGCGGCUACCUGGACGGUUACUGACGCUGAGACGCGAAAGCGUGGGGAGCAAACA
rnacentral:rRNA from 1 species